rnacentral:rRNA from 1 species
GACGAACGCUGGCGGCGCGCUUAACACAUGCAUGUCGUGCGGUGUCGAAGGCAAGUCUUACGACAAGCCUUCGACACAGCGGCGAACGGGUGAGUAACACGUGAGUAGCUGUCCUAAGGAGGGGAUAACGCCUGGAAACGGGUGCUAAUACCCCAUAUGCCUCGCAAGAGGUGAAAGUGUACUUGUUACAGCCUUAGGGUGUGCUCGCGGCCUAUCAGCUAGUUGGUGAGGUAACGGCUCACCAAGGCUAAGACGGGUAGCCGGCCUGAGAGGGUGUACGGCCACACUGGAAUUGAGAUACGGUCCAGACUCCUACGGGAGGCAGCAGUGGGGAAUCUUGGGCAAUGGGCGAAAGCCUGACCCAGCGACGCCGCGUUGGGGAUGAAGCCCUUCGGGGCGUAAACCCAUGUUGUAGGGGACGAAGAAAGUGACGGUACCCUACGAGAAAGCCCCGGCCAACUACGUG